rnacentral:misc_RNA from 1 species
CCCCCCCCACGCGUCAUCUACGUGCUAUCAUCACGAGUUCUUUUGGCAAACUAGUUUCACUGCUCCCCUCCCCCUUACCCAUCGCUGUGUAUCUGUCGUCGUCACCAUCGGGCCCGAUACGCACAGUUUCCGUUAGCACACGCACUCGUCUUCCGCGGCGUGCGUCAUCAUGUCGUCGCCGUUCUUUGGCGAACUGCGAAAGACACUUCACAAUAGAUCGUACAGCUCCUGCGACUCGCUGCCUCGCCAUGCUGCAUCCCCGCCACGUCACGCGCAGUACGUGGAAGCCGACAGGGCAGCGCCAUCCUUAUCGAAGAGCCCCACCUUUUCAUCCGCCCCGCCGUCGCCAAAGUGCCCUGUGCCAUGCACGCAUACCAUGUCGCACACAAACAGCACCGUGCCGUCCAGCAAGCUUCCUUUCAGCAACAGUGUAACCGGCAACGGAGCAGUGUUGAUAGGAACGCUUGCAUCAUUCGACUCUGAGGCUCCAAGAGGCAGGCCAGCCUCCGCUGUUGAAGAUGGUGUCGCGAGCGGCAGCAGCAGCGGCCUCUCGCGUGCCGCCGUGCUGAUGAGCGGCCGCGGUGACGCAUCUCCGCCCUUUUCUCCGCAGCCAUCUGGCUCUGUUCUAGCAGUCUUCUGCCCCCUCACUUCAAAGGCUUGGCAGUCGGGCACCCUACGCGACGGCAUCGCAUUCGACGCGGACACGACGUCUAAAGUUAGCACUAUAUCCCCGCAAACAGGUCUGCAAUCGCCAUUCCUCUUUUCGUCUGGCUGGUCGCAGCAGAGCGUCUCGGCAGCGGCACAAGGCACGCCACCCUCCUUCGUGGGUACGCCGGGGCAAUCCCUCAUCAGCGCUGGGGCUGAAGGCGACGACGCCGAAGACAUGCCGCACAGCUGCGGCGCCAUGUAUUCCCCCAACCACUCUGUGAGCCUCUUGCCGGCACCCAAAGCUUUCGUGCCGGUCUGCCCCGUGCAGUCGCCGGAGCCUUUUGCGACGAAAUUCACCGGCUCGCCUGUCUUCGAGGUUUCUCUUACGACACCGCCAAGCAUCAGGGCGCCGCGGACGGGGGCGGCGAGGGGGGCCGGCGCCACGCCAACUCAGUCCUCGUGCUUGCCGUCGGAGUCGUUGGAGCAGUAUUCGCUGUUGCGGUCUCCGAUACUCCACUCGUUGACACCGCUAUCCAUCUCACCCAGUGCACCUCUCUCACCGGGGUUUGGCUGCAUUAUGGGGACUGAGCAGACGCAAAGUCGACUCUCGCGCCAUCGUCUAGCAGCUUCAGCCGGGUCCGAACAGCUUCCUGUGAGAACGAGCACCGAGAUGCGAUCGCGCGGAUCCGCGGUUGCGUCGCCGCCGUCCGCUGCUGUGCCGUCCGUAAACAGUAAUCAUGAAACACUCAAUGAUCGUCUCGUCUCACCCGCGCGGCGCAGCUAUCGCUGCCCACUGCCCAGCUCGAAUGAGGCAUCGCUCUCGUCGUUCUUCGCAGUGUACGAUGCAGGGCUCCACGCUAACCUUUCGAUGGCCCAGGCGAGCGAAGAGGAUGCGGCGCAUCGAGCCACCAGCGCCACUCUUCCCCGCGUCUGUUCAUCCAAAGACACGGAAGCGGAAGAAGGCGUUGCCGCCGCCCUUGCUCCUGACACCACGGAUGACCCUUUUGAAGCCUUCAGGGAUAUUUUGCCUGCAGCGCAGUGGGGCAGCAGCGUCACAGAGAUGCCGCCUCACAUCACGACAUCAUCAGCGCCGUUCGAAACGGGGUCUGCGUUCCACAGCGUCACUGCCUUCGCGUCAGAGGCCCAUGAGAAAGACAACCAUCCAAGCGAAGAGCUCAACCAGAGCAACCGCCUUUCCUGUUUUUUCAUGGAGAGGCAUCGCAGUACCAUAGCGCAUCGACCCUCAGCGGCACAGCAGCGCAACUCAGUUAACAGAUCCGUCGAUACGCAGCGUACGGCAAGCAAGGCGAUGACGCUGCAGCAACGCCAGCGACGUUUCUCCCUGCAACAGGAGGACAGCAUUGAAAUCAAGCGAAGGGGCUACGCGUGAAAGCACGUGUGCCCCGCAGCGCUGCUCUAUUCACUGGCCCCCCCCUCCUCCUCCCCUCUUCCCUGUCUUUGACUGCCUUACGCGAGUUUCUUUUCUGUUUUUUUUUUUUGGCCUCUUCCCUUUUGCGUUGUUUGCUUUACCCGUUGGCACACCUGAGCGUUUUCUUUGCUCUCCUCUGGCGUCUGUGGUUUCGCGUCCACCACCCUUUUCCCUCCCUUUCAUAUAGCGCCUUUCGUGUGUGCAUGUGCUGGAAACGCGACCUGUCGCUCCUGUUGAAUAGCUCUCUCCUUCCCUCUGCAUCCACUUCCUCCGUCAGGUGCGCCUCUCUCUCCCGGUGUAUGCGCAGAUGAGAAGUGGGUGUAUGGGGGUAUGGGAGCAAGGACGUGACGGGCAGACGGUGCCGAGCGACAUAGAUGUCGCCCCCCUCCCUCCCUCUCCUUUCCUCUCCUCCCCAACACGUUUUUCUUGCUGGUUGCGGUGUGGCCGCGCUCCUCUCGAAGGCGUUUGUUUGCUCUUCAGCAUCAUCCCUUUGUUGUGUUUCUCGGCUACUGUUUAUCUUGGCUUGACGAGAACCGAUGACCUCACACGGCUUUCUCUUCCCGUUUUUUCGCUGUUCUCGCUUCUUGUGUUGCACAUGAGUCGAGAUGUACACGGAGCCGUCACUGCCGCAGAGCUUCUCUACUUGGUCGUCGCCAGCACCUCCUCUUUCUGUUAAGAGGCAGAGGAGUGCAGGCGUGUGUUGCGCACAUGUGGCGUGCAGCGACACCCCCUCGCCCCUUCGGAAAAAAGGGGGAGACAUCAACGGAGAAAACCACAACGCAAAAGAAAUGCCUCUGCUUGACGCAGCAGCAGCAGUCGCGGAUUCGCAACACCGCUUUUUCUCACUCUCCUUCGCUCUUUCUUGCUUUGUUUUUCUCUGAAGCGUUGCGCUUUCCUUUGUUUUCAUGGUUUGUCUGUCCGCGUGUCUGCGUGUGCGUGCGCGGCAUAUAAGCAAGGAUUGCAGGGGUGCCUCGGUUUACUUUGCGUGUGUCUGCGUCAACGAACAAGCAGCUCUGUGUGUUCCUUUUCGGCCUUCGCGUGACUUUUUGGGUCUCGGACGAUGGGGAGGUUCGCUGGCGGAUGAUAGUGCUGGUGGUGUACAUCGUCGUGGAUAACCUCGUGUCUCCUCGGCUGGUCGCGUUUUUUCACUCAUCGCCGUUGAGUCGCCCUGUGUAUGUCGCCUCUUUUUGUGUUUGUUUUCGUUGUUCUUCUCUUCGCUUGGCCGCCCCUCCUGGGAUAUCUACUCAUGUACGUGUGUGCCGCUUCUCCCCGAAAAUGUGUGCUGCGUGCUGUAUGGGCCUUUUCACCUCUACUAUGCGUGCUUUCACUUCGUCAGCUCCUCCGAUUUGGUCCGCGUUUUUCCGCUGCGCGGCUUUUCGUUUCUCUCGAGUUUAUUUUGCGUUUUUGUUUUGUUUUCUAACGCGCUCAAUCAACGCGGUGCUUAUGUAUGUAAGCAGGUGGUAGAGAGAGAUUGGAGGUGAGGGAGUCGCACCCUGUUACAACGGCAGCCCCCCUCCCCCUUCUCAGGCGAGCACAAGAGUCCACACAGACUCACACAGCUUACCAACGCAGUGGCACACGCAUGAAAUUGAAGAAACGAAGCGUCAGCUGAGGUUCUUCAGAGGUGCACACGCGUCACGGUGCGCGCUCCAGGUAUUGAGAUGCGGCCACGCGCGCCUCUGCUGUCGCUCUUUUUGCUUAAUUUCUCCUGUGGUGCUUUUUUGUUUUGCUUUGUGCGUGUGCGUGUGCGUGUGUGUGUGUGCGUGUAUCGCUUCUGUUUACUUCGUUGCUUAUUGUCGCCUCCUUGCGUGUGGGUCUUUCCUCAUCACCGGCGCACGUCUGCUCGCCCUCUGUGUGCGUGUGUGUCCCUCUUUUUUUUGUUGCGUUGUGCGCUUUACGUGGCAGCGCGUGUGCGCGCCCGCUGUGUAUGGCUCCCUUUCGCGUUUGUCUGUGGGUGGAUCGUUUUCCGUAUGGGAGAUCACACGGUAACCCCACACGUUCCGCUCGUGUGGAUCACGAGGGGCUUAAAUCCAAACAUAAAAUUAAAAAAAAAGAAACGACGCGUGCCAGAUGGAGAGGUGCGACCUGCGGAUCUCGCUCGCAAAAGAGAGGGAGCGGGUAACGCGGCGGGGGGGAGCAACAGCGAAGACGUGCGCUCCGAUGUCUUCCGAAACCGACGCGGCAACCUUUGCUUCCGUAUGUCGGAAAGGUCUCGUUUCACGUGGGCGUUUUGGGGCGUUUGCGCUUUGAGCUGAUGCCGUGCGACCGCUUUUUUCUCUUGUCUCACGCCACCCUCUGCCAUUAGACGCAGCUCACAAGUCGAACGUAUCCACCUCUCACAGAUGCGGCCCUGUGCCUUUCUCUUUUCUUCCUUUUUUUUCUUCCCCCCCCCCCCGACUUUGCUCGCACGCUUCUACGGACCCCUGCCUUGUCCCCUCUCUCUCUGCGCCGCCACAUGUCACAACUCUGUGCUCUCCCAUUAGCGUCUCGACUUUCGCUCGCUAAUAUGCCGCCUCUCUCCAGAUCCUCCUCCUUCGUCUCCCCUGCACCCCGCGCGCACAUGUGCGAGCUUCACCCCCUCCCUUCCUCUUCAUUCCUGUCUGUCUGCCAGUGUGCGUGUGUCAUGUGCCCGCGAAGGGGGCGGGGGUGAUGGGGGGCGAGGUGCUGAUAGAGACGACUUGAUGUCUGAGUUUUUUUUUGGGAUUUUAAACGUUUCCUUUUCGAGUUUGUGCGUGUGUAUUGUGUUGCGUUGCGUUGCGUUGCUCUCUCCUCCUCUCGCUAUCGGCAUGCGCUCCCGCUGCACGUCUUCUCUUCUCGUUUCUUCAAGUUUGCAUGCUUGAGUCUCGCCUUGUCUUGCUCUCCCCCCGUUUGCUGCGUUCCGCUCUCUCUUCGCGUCUUUGCGUCGGUCGCGCAAC